rnacentral:rRNA from 1 species
CACCGCGGUUAUACGAGAGGCCCAAAUUGAUGAAAUACGGCGUAAAGCGUGGUUAAGAAAAAAAGAGAAAAUAUGGCCGAACAGCUUCAAAGCAGUUAUACGCAUCCGAAGUCACGAAGAACAAUCACGAAAGUUGCCCUAAAACCUCCGAUUCCACGAAAGCCAUAAAA